rnacentral:rRNA from 1 species
GACGAACGCUGGCGGCGUGCUUAACACAUGCAAGUCGAACGCUGAAGCUCAGCUUGCUGGGUGGAUGAGUGGCGAACGGGUGAGUAACACGUGAGUAACCUGCCCUCUUCUUUGGGAUAACGCCCGGAAACGGGUGCUAAUACUGGAUAUUCACUGAUUCUCGCAUGGGGGUUGGUGGAAAGGUUUUUUCUGGUGGGGGAUGGGCUCGCGGCCUAUCAGCUUGGUGGUGGGGUGAUGGCCUACCAAGGCUUUGACGGGUAGCCGGCCUGAGAGGGUGACCGGUCACAUUGGGACUGAGAUACGGCCCAGACUCCUACGGGAGGCAGCAGUGGGGAAUAUUGCACAAUGGGCGAAAGCCUGAUGCAGCGACGCCGCGUGAGGGAUGGAGGCCUUCGGGUUGUAAACCUCUUUCGCUCAUGGUCAAGCCGCAGCUUUGGGUUGUGGUGAGGGUAGUGGGUAAAGAAGCGCCGGCUAACUACGUG